rnacentral:rRNA from 1 species
AUUGAACGCUGGCGGCAGGCUUAACACAUGCAAGUCGAGCGAGCGGCGGACGGGUGAGUAAUGUCUGGGAAACUGCCUGAUGGAGGGGGAUAACUACUGGAAACGGUAGCUAAUACCGCAUACCAUCAGAUGUGCCCAGAUGGGAUUAGCUAGUAGGUGGGGUAAUGGCUCACCUAGGCGAAGAUCCCUAGCUGGUCUGAGAGGAUGACCAGCCCCCCUGGACCUGAGCCACGGUCCAGCCUCCUCCGGUCGGCAGCAGUGGGGAAUUUUGGACAAUGGGCGAAACCCUGCUCCACCCAUCCCGCGUGUGCGAUGAAGGCCUUCGGGUUGUAAAGCACUUUUGGCAGUAAAGCGGUACCUGCAGAAUAAGCACCGGCUAACUACGUGCCAGCAGCCGCGGUAAUAC